AAAAUAAAGGCUUUUCCCCUCCCAAUUAACAGAGCAUCCUGGUUCUAAUUAGAACUGAUACUUGGAAAACUUGUCUACAAGUAUUUAUGCAUCUAGCUCCCGAUUCAUUAUACUGAUUUUUCACAAGAAGUUGAGACUAAUAGACUACAGAUGGGAGGUGGGUGAGCCACAUGUCAGGUUGUAUAUUUGUGCAAACAUAUGUAUGCUAGUCUAAGACUAGAUUGUAUAUUUGAAGGCAUACAGUCAUGUAAAACAUGCACAAAAACAAUAUUUAUUUAUUACCAUUUAUCACUUGUACAUAAACUCCAGCAAUUUACAUCAACAAAUGUUGUAGGAUGCAUGUGUAAGGUUUUUUUCCAUAUUUAUACAGGUUUUUUUUUUUUUUUACAUCUCGGAGCCUAGAAAGUGAGAGUGAUGGAUUUCAGCCUCAGGACUUUCCUGCACCAAGAUGAUGAUGCAGAUUUUUGAGGGAGCAGGAAUGUGCUGGGGGUUGUUUCUGGUUUUUCUUAAACUGAAAAAAAACAGGUCACAGAAGCACUUUUAUUGGCUUCUCCAAUUUAUGGCUAUGAUGUGGCCUGACUGCAUCUCACUUCUGUAAGUAAACUGUGUGUCCUUGAGCAUUGCACAUCAUUUUAAUUCCCAAGCAACAACACUACUUUAAAACUUGGAAACUUAAUUCAAGUGCAAAUACUCAUGACAAGGCAUCUGCAUCACACGGGUCAAAUACUGCACAUCUUACAGGUUUUUGCAGAGGCAUUUUUAUCUGAACAUUUUUCCAAUUUUCACCUUUAAAAUUUCUUCCCACCCCUUAUUUCCCCAACUGUUGCAACAUCAUCCUAAUCAAGCAACCUGGCAAUCAUACUGAUCUUCAGAUAAAAAGUUACAAAAUUUCUUAAGAACAUGGGCUUGUGCCACUCCUUCCCUUCUUCCCAACCAACAAAGCAGGCUGAGAGUGCACAGGUCCCAAGGAUGUUCUUACAACAGUGAUUUCACCCUAGUACAGACAUACCUGACCUAGCUUCAACCUAGGUAACCUAUGUACUAGCAGCAGGCUAGCUGUCAGCAGCCUAAACCUUAACACAGGUUUCAAAAACUAUCUGGCAAACA